UACAGAGGUCUCGAGCGUUAGGCGGAAUCACUGGGCUUAAAGCGUGUGUAGGUGGAUGCCUAAGUACCUUGUGAAAUCCCACAGCUUAACUGUGGAACUGCUUGGUAUACUGGGUGUCUUGAGUCACUCAGGGGCGAGCGGAACAAAUGGUGGAGCGGUGAAAUGCGUAGAUAUCAUUUGGAACGCCAAUGGUGAAAACAGCUCGCUGGGGGUUUGCUGACGCUGAGACACGAAAGCCAGGGGAGCAAACGGG
rnacentral:rRNA from 1 species